UGCAGUCGAGCGAUGGAUUAAGAGCUUGCUCUUAUGAAGUUAGCGGCGGACGGGUGAGUAACACGUGGGUAACCUGCCCAUAAGACUGGGAUAACUCCGGGAAACCGGGGCUAAUACCGGAUAACAUUUUGAACCGCAUGGUUCGAAAUUGAAAGGCGGCUUCGGCUGUCACUUAUGGAUGGACCCGCGUCGCAUUAGCUAGUUGGUGAGGUAACGGCUCACCAAGGCAACGAUGCGUAGCCGACCUGAGAGGGUGAUCGGCCACACUGGGACUGAGACACGGCCCAGACUCCUACGGGAGG
rnacentral:rRNA from 1 species